GGGGAUGUGGCUCAGUGGUAGAAUGCACACCUAGUGCGUGUGAGGCACUGGGUUCGAUCCUCAGCACCACA
rnacentral:tRNA from 1 species